UACGUAGGGUGCAGGCGUUAAUCGGAAUUACUGGGCGUAAAGCGUGCGCAGGCGGUUUGCUAAGAGAGAUGUGAAAUCCCCGGGCUUAACCUGGGAACUGCGUUUCUAACUGGCAGGCUUGAGUGUGGCAGAGGGGGGUGGAAUUCCUCGUGUAGCAGUGAAAUGCGUAGAGAUGUGGAGGAACACCGAUGGCGAAGGCAGCCCCCUGGGCUAACACUGACGCUCAUGCACGAAAGCGUGGGGAGCAAACAGG
rnacentral:rRNA from 1 species